GAUGAAGAACGCAGCGAAAUGCGAUAAGUAGUGUGAAUUGCAGAAUUCAGUGAAUCAUCGAAUCUUUGAACGCACAUUGCGCCCCUUGGUAUUCCGAGGGGCAUGCCUGUUCGUGCGUCAUUUCAACCCCUCAAGCUCAGCUUGGUGUUGGGCUGCGCCAGCGUGCUGGCGGGCCUUAAAAUCAGUGGCGGUGCCGCGUGGGCUCCAAGCGUAGUAGCAUCUCUCGCUCUGGGGACCCGGCGGUUGCCUGCCAGACAAUCACUAAAAAAACAAAAGGUUUGACCUCGGAUCAGGUAGGGAUACCCGCUGAACUUAAGCAUAUCAAUAAGCGGAGGA
rnacentral:misc_RNA from 1 species